AUACCAGCUCUCCGAGUGGUGUGGAUGUUUAUUGGGCCUAAAGCAUCCGUAGCUGGCCAAGUUAGUCCCCUGUUAAAUCCACCGAUUCAAUCGUUGGAGUGCGGGGGAUACUGCUCGGCUAGGGGACGGGAGAGGCCGACGGUAUUUUCGGGGUAGGGGUGAAAUCCUAUAAUCCCGGGAAGACCACCAGUGGCGAAGGCUGUCGGCUAGAACGCGCCCGACGGUGAGGGAUGAAAGCUGGGGUAGCGAACCGGAUUAGAUACCCGGGUAGUCCCAGCUGUAAACGAUGCAGGCUAGGUGUUUGGGCGGCCACGUGCCGCUCUAGUGCCGCAGGGAAGUCGUUAAGCCUGCCGCCUGGGGAGUACGGUCGCAAGGCUGAA
rnacentral:rRNA from 1 species